UGCAGAACUCUCAUUACCUGUCAAGUACUCAUUUCCCACCACCCCCGCCACAUUCCUUCUAACAGAAUCUUGAUUUUGUUAGGUAUCUACCUUGUCUGCUUGCUGUGACUUCAGAAAAGUCAGAAAAAGAUGCCCUUUUCCCAAGCACUUUACUGCCAUCUGCUGGAAAUUUGUCAUAAUAACCUUACAAAUGACUGUGAGUGAGGCCUCCUGGAGUUGUGCACUACACAACUUGCACAACCAUAGGAGUGGUCCUGUGUCUAUCCCUGUCCUGUAUGACUCAGGGGAUGGUGAUCCCAUCCCCAGUUCUGGAGGUAGAUCUUGUAUGAAUGGUUUACUAUUCCUGGUCACUUUACUCUCCUUGCCUGUGAUUGCUUUGAUAAUGGGUAUAUAAUCUAGUUCUGGACAGUGACACUGGAUGACAAGUCUGCUGGGAAGCUUCUAGAAAAGGAUUCUUCACUUUUAAGAAAGAGAUAUAGGACAAAGUUCCCUUUUCUUCCUCUGAGCAAUGCUUUUAGCAUGAUACCUGCUAUCAUGCAGGUAGCCAUUUUGUGGAGCUAGAGCCCAGCUAUACUUUCCAUGCCUGAGCCCAUCCUAUCCAUGGACUUCAUACUUGAGAUAAUAAACACAUUACCUUAUUAUUUCCAGCAUCUUGAAUUAGUUUUCUGUAACUUGUACCAGAAAGCAUCAUAACAGUUUCCAGUGUAAUCUCUGGGCCUCUGCUCCUGCCACCCUUCUGGCACUUCCUGUCUUCCCUUCCCCCUUUCCCUCUUCUCCUCCCCUUUGCUUCUCUGCCCUCCUCCUUCUUCUUCCCUUCUUUCCCCUCCCCCCUCUUUUUCUUCUCCUUCUCCACUCUCUUUUUUUUUAUUUUUUAUUUUUUAUUUUUUUAGAGAUGGUCUCACUGUCACCCAGGCUGGAGCACAGUCGUGAGAUCAUAGCUCAUUGUAACCUUGAACUCCUGGGCUCAAGCAAUCCUCCCAAAGUGCUGGGACCACAGGCGCAUGCCACUAUAUCUGGCUAAUUUAAAUUUUUUGUAGAGAUGGGGUCUCACUAUGUUGCUCAGGUUGGUCUCGAACUCCUAGGCUCAAGCAGUCCUCCUGCCACUGGCCUUCCAAAGCACCGCGUUUACAGCUGUGAGCCAUGGUUUCCCAGACCCAGCUGCCUUUUCUCUUCUGCCACUGAGCAUAACCUGGAAUCAAUCCUGGAUGCCUGCAUUCUAAUCUAGCCAGCAGGAUUGAAGCAAUAAAGAAGAGUAGAAAGAAAGGGUUGAAGCCAGGUGCAGUGGCUCGCUCCUAUGGUCCCAGCCACUGUGUGGUGGGGAGGAACUGAGGUAGGAGGAUCCCUUGAACGUAGGAGUUCAUGUCCAGCCUGGGCAAUGUAGCGAGAUCCAGUCUCUUAAAAAAAAAUAAGGAAGAAACAAAAAGAGUUGACAAGAAAGGCUCUAGUAGCCACCACAUUCCAUUUUGGUUUCAUCUUACUAGAAUUUAGUCACGUGACCACAACUAACUGCCAAGAAGGCUAGGAAAGUGGCAUGUAUUAUGGGCAUUGGAUACCAGCUAAACUGUGUAGAGAGUAUGGAUGGGCCUGGGCACAAUGGCUCAUUCCUAUAAUCCCAGCACUUUGGGAAGCCAAAGGCGGGAUGAUCGCUUGAGCCCAGGAGGUCGAGGCUGCAGUGAGCAAUGAUCACCACUGCACUUCAACCUGGGCAACAGAGUGAGACCCAGUCUCGAGAAAAAAAAAAAGUAUGGGUGGAUACUGGGAAACAGCAAGAAGUUUUUGCCACCCAUUAAGUGGAUUUUAUAGUUUUCUUACCUGAUACAGACUAAGAGCAUUAAAAUAACAUUUUGCCUAAUGGCUUUAACAGCCAUGGAUGAUUAUUUUUCAGAUCUAUUAUUUCAUUAGGGAUUGCAAAAUGGUAGUGUUCUAGUUCUAACAUUUUUGGUUUUUGGGGAUUUGUGUGGAGAUAACAUCCCUCUUGGAUUUCAGGGUAGUCUGGGGGAACAUAAUUAACAUGGGGCUAGCUCCUGACGUUCCAGAAGAGAAUGGAAUGUAGAAUUAAGUUCUGAAAGUGUUUUCAGUUGUGUUGAUUCAUUCUGCACACCCUUUUAAAGGUAAUGAAAAUGUGCACAGCCUCCUGAAACUCCCUGGCACAGUCCUCCAUUCAGAGAAGUCUUUUCUAAUUCUUUGGUGACUCAGUUUCCUUUAGUAGCCUUUGAUUUGCCAUCAGUUAUAAAAUAUUUUGUUUUGUAAACAAAUUUCAAUUAUUUUUCUUCAGAGGCCUCCUAAUGAUUUGCCUCACUCUAUGAACUCAAGUUGUUUAGCCAAGGCACCUUGUCAAUGCUUUCCAACCAAAGUAAACAGGUUAGAUUUAUUACUUGUAGCAUGGGGUGACUCAGUAGGAGGAUUAUUUGGGGCAGGGUCUAAGGAAACUGUUCUGUUGAGAUUGGAUACUCUCAGAAAGCAGGAUCAGUUAUACUAUUGGCUGCUCUACCAUUGACUGCCUCAAAUUUUUUCUAUAGGGAGGGCAGACAAGAGUAAGGAUAAAGCUGUCAUUGGUAAAGAAGUCAGCAGUCACUCAUUUUAGUGGAGAUAGGAUGUUUGGGUACUUUGUACGGCACGAUGCCCUUGUAUUUUUCUGUGGUUAGGCAAAAUUCUGAAGUGGCCUUAUUUAGUCUUACUUUAUCAUGGUCUCUGAGUAACCUUUCUGAUCCAGUCUCUAAAAAAAAAAAAAAAGAAAGAAAGAAAGAAAAAAACAAAGGGUUGACAAGAAAGGCUUUGGUAGCCACCACAUUCCACUUUGGUUUCAUCUUACUAGGAUUUAGUCACGUGACCACAACUAACUGCCAAGAAGGCUAGGAAAGUGAUUAUGUCCAACAGAAGACUAACUGGUAUAGCUGUGGGUGCCAGGCCAGCUUUUUAUCAGGGGCUGCUUUUUUUCCUUUAUCAACCUUAAACUUCUCCCUAAUUAGCACCAAGGCAAAUUAAUAGAUUUUGUUUCAUUCAAUUCAGAAAUCAUGUAUUGAGCUUCCUCACAGUGUCCCCUCCCCUGAAGCUGAAUGGAUAAUGGCUUAGUCAGGCUGGCACCCCAGUCUGCCCCAGAUGCGGAUUUAAUGACUGUAUAUGACCUAGGGGAUCAGCUUUGAGGCAACUAGACCUUCCUUUUCCUUGCAACUCUGUGACCCGUCUUUCUCGAGGUGUGCUGUUUUUUGCUUUAGUUUAAAAUUUCCAGCUUUUUGGUGGGUGCUAUAGUCAAAUACAAAACCUAAACAAGUAAGGGAAUUGAUCUAUUCAGGCUAUUACAAUAGGAAAAGCACUCCAAAUCCAAAGAUCAGAGUCUCUUGGCAGGGUGGUUUUGCCUUAGACUUUUAUAGAGAGGAGUAUACAAGUUACAGGUGGAGGACUUACAUGUGGGAUUGUUUUGCAAUCAGAAGUCUCAGUCAGUUGCCAAACAGGAAAUAUUUAUCUCUGUGUCAUGCUGGUUUUAGGUGGACAAAGAGUUCUAAUAGAGAGACAAAGAAUGAGGAAUUGGGCUGAGCAUGGUGAUGCACAUCUGUAAUCCCACCACUUUGAGAGGCCCACACAGGAGGAUUACUUGAGCCCAGGUGUUCAAGACCAGCCUAGGCAACAUAGCAAGACCCCGUCUCUACGGAAAAAAAAAAAAAAAUUGUAAAAAAGAAUGAGGAAUUGAAGGGUCUGUGUCUGGUCUUGUCCCACUGGGAUGGGAUAAUCUCAUGGGAUACCAUAUACUAUGGUGUAUGCAGUUCAUGGGUGACCAAAUCAUUGUUAUGUGAUGCAUGCCUGUAAUUUGUAAAAUUCCUUGCAGGUAUACAAUUUAUUGAUUAAACAAUUGGAAGUUUGGAGAAAUAUAUUAUUGUGCCAUUCAUCUAAAUUUCUCUUUUUUCCAUACACUGUGUAUCUUUUCCUUUCUUUUAUCCCUUUGGGUUAAGGAUGUUUUAGUUUUAAAUGAAAUAAAUCAAACUAAAACUAGCAUAGUGAAAAAGCAAUUGUAGUGAUCAACAAAAUAAGCCCAGGGAUAGAGCUGGCUUUAGCCAUGAUCAUGUAACUAGUUACAGUCUAGGGAUUAAAAUGCACAAAGACCAUACCUCAUAUUUCUUUUCUUUUCUUUCUUUUUUUUUUGAGAUGGAAUGUCACUCUUGUUGCCCAAGCUGGAGUGCAAUGGUACGAUCUUGGCUGAGAUCAGGAGAAUCACUUGAACCUGGGAGACAGAGGUUGCA
rnacentral:lncRNA from 1 species